rnacentral:ncRNA from 1 species
UUGAAUAGACGGGAUACAGGUUCCGGCAAAAUGCCGGCUAAGAGGGAAGUCCGGUGAAAAUCCGGCGCGGUCCCGCCACUGUGAUGGGGAGCCGCCUUAUAAAAUGCCACUGGGAAACCGGGAAGGCAUAAGGCGGCGGUGAACCAGAGCCAGGAGACCUGCCUGUAUCUUUUAUACACU